GUUGCGGUAACAUCUGUCGCUAGUGCUGUGGCUCAGGCUAGGGAUGUGUUCGACCUGGAAGACCAGGAGGUCGUGCUCACCUACCUGGGAGCGGAGCUGACCAGCUCAGUAAGGAUGGAGUUGUUGCCAGCCAUGGCAGAACUCACAGUAACACACAAAUGAACCAUAUGGAUAACGUGAAUGUAAUUCUGGACUCUUUUUGGUUUUGGCUUAGCCUCCGCUUCCUGUCUGGAAGCUGUACUCCCCAGGAUUUGAAAACCAGGCCAGUGUAUAAAUUGUAAAAUAGUAGAUUAGUGUUGGACAUUUUUACAUAUCGCCAUAUUGAAGAACGGUAUUGGUGUAUACAUUGUUUUUAUGGUCAUGGUUUUCACUUUUUGUUCCAUGCUGGAACUGGUGCUUAAUUUGUAAGGGGGAUUUAGUAGAAUAGCAGGUAGUUUAGAUUAAUUGGAAAUUCAAGGGGAGCUUAAUGAACUGACAGAAAUAGAGAUCUUUGUAAAUUUUUUGAUUAUUUGUAGUAGAUUUAGUUUUUGUGUAUUUUAGAGAUAUGUGAUUCAGAAUUAGGACAAUUCUGAGUUGUGGCUCCGAGUAACGGAUGUGGAAAAUUUUUUUUUAUUGUCUUAGGCAAAUAGUUCAGUGAUUUAUUUUUUUUUUAAAUGCCAUGUUUUUAGGGAAAAGAUAAAAUUUAGAUAGAGACCCAAUAGCCAGGGAACAGGGGGGUGGAUUUUAGAAAUAACCCAU
rnacentral:lncRNA from 1 species